NNUGAAGGAAGUCGGCGGCAAAAUCUUGAACCUAUGAACAAGAACUGGUUAAAAGGCGCAUAAGGUAGGAUAAGGUUGCCAAACAAACCAAAGUCCUAUACUGCACGGAGCCUUAUGUGUAAAAUCAGAGGUUACAUGAGAGGAAAGUUACU
rnacentral:ncRNA from 1 species